rnacentral:rRNA from 1 species
UAGUCCACGCCGUAAACGAUGGACACUUGGUGUUGGAGGUAUUGACCCCUUCAGUGCCGUAGCUAACGCGUUAAGUGUCCCACCUGGGGAGUACGUUCGCAAGAAUGAAACUCAAAGGAAUUGACGGGGGCCCGCACAAGCGGUGGAGCACGUGGUUUAAUUCGAUGAUACGCGAGGAACCUUACCAGGGCUUAAAUGUAAGUUGCAUUAGGCAGAGAUCCUUAUUUCUUCGGACUACUUACAAGGUGCUGCAUGGUUGUCGUCAGCUCGUGCCGUGAGGUGUCAGGUUAAGUCCUAUAACGAGCGCAACCCCUAUCACUAGUUGCCAGCAUUAAGUUGGGGACUCUAGUGAGACUGCCCGCGUAAGCGGCGAGGAAGGUGGGGACGACGUCAAAUCAUCAUGGCCUUUAUGCCUAGGGCUACACACGUGCUACAAUGGUGCAUACAGAGGGCUGCGAAGCCGCGAGGUGGAGCUAAUCUCAGAAAGUGCAUCCCAGUUCGGAUUGG